rnacentral:rRNA from 1 species
AGCGAACGCUGGCGGCGUGCUUAACACAUGCAAGUCGAGUGCGCGGUUCGUAGCAAUACGAACUGGCGCACGGCGCACGGGUGAGGAACACGUGGGCAACAUGCCCUCCGAUGGGGAAUAACCCGCCGAAAGGCGGGCUAAUACCGCAUACGAUUCCGGGGACCUCGGUUCCUGGACUGAAAGCCCGCAAGGGCGUCGGUGGAGUGGCCCGCGGCCGAUUAGCUUGUUGGCGGGGUAACGGCCCACCAAGGCAAUGAUCGGUAGCCGGUCCUGAGAGGAUGAUCGGCCACACUGGAACUGAGACACGGUCCAGACUCCUACGGGAGGCAGCAGUGGGGAAUCUUGCGCAAUGGGCGAAAGCCUGACGCAGCGACGCCGCGUGGGGAUGAAGCCUUUCGGGGCGUAAACCCCUUUCGACCCGGACGAAAUGCCCGCAAGGGAAUUGACGGUACGGGUAUAAGAAG